UGUAAGCGUAUACCAAAGUUGUUGCAGUUAAAACGCUCGUAGUCGAAUUUUGGUGUGAGUUAUGGAGACUCCUACUGGAUGUUGAAGUAACUUCGCCUUUGUGGAGGGGGUGUGGUGGUACUUUAUUGUAUUGCUGCAUUUCCGCCACUGUUUACUGUGAAAAAAUUAGAGUGUUCAAAGCGAGCGUUUGCCAUGAAUACAUUAGCAUGGAAUAAUAGAAUAGGACCUGGUUCUGUUUUAUUGGUUUGUCUGUAUCAGGUAAUGAUUAACAGGGACGGUCGGGGGUAUUUGUAUUCCAGCGUUAGAGGUGAAAUUCUUGGAUCGCUGGAAGACAGACAGCUGCGAAAGCGUCUACCAAGGACGUUUNCAUUGA
rnacentral:rRNA from 1 species